AUGAACGCUGGCGGCGUGCCUAAUACAUGCAAGUCGAGCGAACAGACGAGGAGCUUGCUCCUCUGACGUUAGCGGCGGACGGGUGAGUAACACGUGGAUAACCUACCUAUAAGACUGGGAUAACUUCGGGAAACCGGAGCUAAUACCGGAUAAUAUAUUGAACCGCAUGGUUCAAUAGUGAAAGACGGUUUUGCUGUCACUUAUAGAUGGAUCCGCGCCGCAUUAGCUAGUUGGUAAAGUAACGGCUUACCAAGGCAACGAUGCGUAGCCGACCUGAGAGGGUGAUCGGCCACACUGGAACUGAGACACGGUCCAGACUCCUACGGGAGGCAGCAGUAGGGAAUCUUCCGCAAUGGGCGAAAGCCUGACGGAGCAACGCCGCGUGAGUGAUGAAGGUCUUCGGAUCGUAAAACUCUGUUAUUAGGGAAGAACAAAUGUGUAAGUAACUAUGCACGUCUUGACGGUACCUAAUCAGAAAGCCACGGCUAACUACGUG
rnacentral:rRNA from 1 species